rnacentral:lncRNA from 1 species
UCCAUCACGUCCUUAUGCUCCCGUUGUGUAAGGCGUGGUCUUCUGUCCGGUCAUCUCCUUGGUGGUCUCCUCCUCUCCAGUGGUAGCCCAGGCUCAUCUCCGGUUGUCUCUUUAGCGGUCACAGUCCAGUCUCCUCUAUGCUCAUCCACAGUUCAAUUUUCUCUCUGAUCUUCCAUCGUCAUGGCUCCUCUCCACUCCUCUUCAGUCCAUGCUCCUCUCUGAUUUGAAGUGGAAGCUAUGUCAGAUCCAUCUCAGCAUCUCCACACA